AUUGAACGCUGGCGGCAGGCCUAACACAUGCAAGUCGAGCGGCAGCGGAAAGUAGCUUGCUACUUUGCCGGCGAGCGGCGGACGGGUGAGUAAUGUCUGGGAAACUGCCUGAUGGAGAGGGAUAACUACUGGAAACGGUAGCUAAUACCGCAUAACGUCGCAAGACCAAAGAGGGGGACCUUCGGGCCUCUUGCCAUCAGAUGUGCCCAGAUGGGAUUAGCUAGUAGGUGGGGUAACGGCUCACCUAGGCGACGAUCCCUAGCUGGUCUGAGAGGAUGACCAGCCACACUGGAACUGAGACACGGUCCAGACUCCUACGGGAGGCAGCAGUGGGGAAUAUUGCACAAUGGGCGCAAGCCUGAUGCAGCCAUGCCGCGUGUAUGAAGAAGGCCUUCGGGUUGUAAAGUACUUUCAGCGGGGAGGAAGGUGUUAAGGUUAAUAACCUCAGCAAUUGACGUUACCCGCAGAAGAAGCACCGGCUAACUCCGUGCCAGCCGCCGCGGUAAGAC
rnacentral:rRNA from 1 species